rnacentral:rRNA from 1 species
UACGGGGGGGGCAAGCGUUGUCCGGAAUUACUGGGCGUAAAGAGCUCGUAGGUGGUUUGUCGCGUUGUUCGUGAAAUCUCACGGCUUAACUGUGAGCGUGCGGGCGAUACGGGCAGACUAGAGUACUGCAGGGGAGACUGGAAUUCCUGGUGUAGCGGUGGAAUGCGCAGAUAUCAGGAGGAACACCGGUGGCGAAGGCGGGUCUCUGGGCAGUAACUGACGCUGAGGAGCGAAAGCGUGGGGAGCGAACAGG